ensembl:lncRNA
GGGAGAGAGGUGAGGGAGAGUCUCGUGUGCGCAUCUGAGGGAAGGGCUUUCCGGGGAGAAAGCAGCUGGUGCAAAGGUCCUGAGGUGUGAGUGUAGCCCGGUUGAUUCCAAGACUUGUGAGAAGAUCACGGUGACUCAAGGAAGGAGCAAGAGAUAGAGCAGGAGCACAGUCGUGCAUCGUUUUUCCCUGCGGUAGAGCUUUUGUGACACAGCGUGGUGGCUGGUUCUUGGUUGGCACAUGCGCAGUACAGGGGCCGCCUCUUCUGUUCCCGCACUCAGAGUUCACCUUGUUCUACUCGUGGAACUCCUUUCCUGCUGAGACCUGCACUUGCCUCAAGACUGCUCAGCACAGUCCUUGAACUUGGCAUACGGGGAGCCAGUUCGCUAACCGUGAGUUCACUGUUAACACAGUGGCUCUUCAGGAUGGAGCAUCUUUGUCUCUGGCCUCAGUGGGGUAGCCAAAGUACUUAGCAGGCACUCAGUGCAACUUCGUUGAAUGAAUGUCGAUUCCAGUAGUUAAAGCAAAGGUCUGAAAUUGUGGUCCUCAACCCCCACCUCCACCGCCACACACACACCUUCUAGGAUAAAUCCAUCAGUUCUAGAGUUUAAAAUAGCCCCAAGUGAUUUUGAUAGAAACUCACCCCCUCAAU